CUAUGAAUUUUUUAUAUAUGUUACAGGCCGUACAUGAAAUCAUACCGUAAGUAUACGGUCUAGGCGGUAUCUAUAUGGUCUAGAUGGCACAGACCGUAUGGAAAUGACGAGGUAUUUUAUAUACGGACUAGACCAUUUACAUACGGACUACCGUAAUUUAGACUGUAUGUUCAAUCGCAAGUGUCUAGUUGCCGUUUAGUUUUUGUCUCGUUUUGCUCCAAUUUACAAAAUAUUUUGCAGCAAAAUAAGCACAGUGGUGACAUUCGUUAAAAUUUAAACGUUUUUACUGUUUAAUGCAAUAGAUUUCCACAAUGGAAUUACACAAACAAAGGUUUUAUGAACAACUGUAUGAACGAAGAAAAGACGUUGCCGAUAACAACCGCGGCUUAACGAGAGAAAAAUAUAGUAGUCUCAUUGAAGAAGUAAAAAUUGCUAAGGCUGCUAAAAAAAAAAAGUCCAAGAAUGCACUGGCUCUUAAAGCAUUAUGAUGUGUUAUCUGUUCAGGGGGUAGAAAAACUGAUAGUGCCUCUUAACAAUGAUUUAGUUGAUGUAAUAUAUUACGUCCAUGACGACGAGUUGUUUAACAUUCUUCAAGAACUACACACAUCCACAGGUCAUGGUGGUAGAGAUCGCAUGAUGAAAAAAACAAAGGAAAAAUACAAGAAUAUAGUGCGUACUGAAAUUUUAUUGUUUAUUAACUUGUGCGCUCCAUGUCAAAUGAAACAAAAAAGGGAAAAGAAGGGAAUUAUAUCAAAACCGAUGAUCUUCAAUGAUCUGAAUUCCAGAUGUCAAGUAGACUUAAUCGA